rnacentral:rRNA from 1 species
AGUUUGAUCAUGGCUCAGAACGUACGCUGGCGGCACGCCUAAUACAUGCAAGUCGAACGAAGUAGCAAUACUUAGUGGCAGACGGGUGAGUAACAUGUAGGUAUCUGCCCUUUGGCCUGGAAUAACACGAGGAAACUUGUGCUAAUACCGGAUAAGUCUUUACGGAGAAAGCUUUAUGCACCAUUGGAUGAGCCCGCACUUGAUUAGUUUGUUGGUAGGGUAAUGGCCUACCAAGACUUUGAUCAAUAGCUGAUUUGAGAGGAUGAUCAGCCACAUUGGGACUGAGACACGGCCCAAACUCCUACGGGAGGCAGCAGUAGGGAAUCUUGCACAAUGGAGGAAACUCUGAUGCAGCGAUGCCGCGUGAGUGAAGAAGGCCUUUGGGUUGUAAAGCUCUUUCGUCGGGGAAGAAAAUGACUGUACCCGAAUAAGAAGGUCCGGCUAACUUCGUGCCAGCAGCCGCGGUAAUACGAAGGGACCUAGCGUAGUUCGGAAUUACUGGGCUUAAAGAGUUCGUAGGUGGUUAAAAAAGUUGGUGGUGAAAGCCCAGAGCUUAACUCUGGAACUGCCAUCAAAACUUUUUAGCUAGAGUAUGAUAGAGGAAAGCAGAAUUUCUAGUGUAGAGGUGAAAUUCGUAGAUAUUAGAAAGAAUACCAAUUGCGAAGGCAGCUUUCUGGAUCAUUACUGACACUGAGGAACGAAAGCAUGGGUAGCGAAGAGGAUUAGAUACCCUCGUAGUCCAUGCCGUAAACGAUGUGUGUUAGAUGUUGGAAAUUUAUUUUCAGUAUCGCAGCGAAAGCAAUAAACACACCGCCUGGGGAGUACGACCGCAAGGUUAAAACUCAAAUGAAUUGACGGGGACCCGCACAAGUAGUGGAGCAUGUGGUUUAAUUCGAAGAUACGCGCAGAACCUUACCAACACUUGACAUGUUCGUCGCGACUCUAAGAGAUUAGAGUUUUCGGUUCGGCCGGACGAAACACAGGUGCUGCAUGGCUGUCGUCAGCUCGUGUCGUGAGAUGUUGGGUUAAGUCCCGCAACGAGCGCAACCCUUACUUUUAGUUGCUACCAUUUAGUUGGGCACUCUAAAAGAACUGCCAGUGAUAAGCUGGAGGAAGGCGGGGAUGACGUCAAGUCCUCAUGGCCCUUACGUGUUGGGCUACACACGUGCUACAAUGGUACUUACAAUGAGAUGCGAAGAGGCGACUCUAAGCUAAUCCCAAAAAGGUACCUCAGUUCGGAUUGUACUCUGCAACUCGAGUACAUGAAGCUGGAAUUACUAGUAAUCGCGGAUCAGCGCGCCGCGGUGAAUACGUUCCCGGGUCUUGUACACACCGCCCGUCACACCAUGGAAGUUGGUUACACCUUAAGGCAAAGCAUAAAACCUUUGACUACGGUACGAUCAGCGACUGGGGUGAAGUCGUAACAAGGUA